UAAGACGAACCGUGCGAACGUUGUUCGGAAUCACUGGGUUUAAAGGGCGCGUAGGCGGGCUGUCAAGUCGGUGGUGAAAUCGUUCCGCUCAACGGGACAAUGGCCUUCGAUACUGGCGGUCUGGAGGGAGGUAGGGGCAUGCGGAACUUCCGGUGGAGCGGUGAAAUGCGUAGAUAUCGGAAGGAACACCGAUGGCGAAAGCAGCGUGCUGGACCUUUUCUGACGCUGAGGCGCGAAAGCCAGGGGAGCAAACGGGAUUAGAUACCCCGGUAGUCCUGGCCCUAAACGAUGGGUACUGGGUUGUGGACUGGACAUGGGUUCACAGCCGCAGCAAAAGUGUUAAGUACCCCACCUGGGGAGUAUGGUCGCAAGGCUG
rnacentral:rRNA from 1 species